UACAGAGGGGGCAAGCGUUGUUCGGAAUUACUGGGCGUAAAGGGCGCGUAGGCGGCCUGCUAAGUCGAACGUGAAAUCCCUGGGCUCAACCCAGGAACUGCGUCCGAUACUGGUUGGCUUGAGUCCGGGAGAGGGAUGUGGAAUUCCAGGUGUAGCGGUGAAAUGCGUAGAUAUCUGGAGGAACACCGGUGGCGAAGGCGACAUCCUGGACCGGCAUUGACGCUGAGGCGCGAAAGCCAGGGGAGCAAACGGG
rnacentral:rRNA from 1 species